rnacentral:rRNA from 1 species
AUUCCAGCUCCAGUAGUGUAUAUCAAAGUUGUUGCGGUUAAAAAGCUCGUAGUUGGAUUUCCCGGGAUUUUGGGUGUGGGAUGUGGUCAUUUGAACUGCGGCCAUGCCUUUACUGGUGGUUGUGCUCUCCUUCUGGGGGGGUAGGACGUGUACUUUGAACAAAUUAGAGUGCUCAAGACAGGCGAUUUUAUAAUUGGUGUGAAUAGAUUAGCAUGGAAUACGGGUAUAAACUCUCUUCUCGGGAUUGUUGUUUUGACGAGGAGGGGGAAUGAUGGAUAGGGACAGGUGUGGGCAUUGAGAUUGUUACGUCAGAGGUGAAAUUCUUAGAUCGUAGCAGGAUUAGCAGACGCGAAAGCAUUUGUCAAGGAUGUUUUCAUCA